GUAGAGUAAGCAUUGCGCGUAAAGUGGCAAGCGGCUGGGAAGUUGCCCUUGCACGAAAGGCCCCCGUGAAAUUGGGCCUACGAUGUAAUGCUGCAUCCGCUA
rnacentral:ncRNA from 1 species